GCCUCGAUGGUGAAAUUGGUAGACACAUCGGACUUAAAAUCCGCCGCCUCUAACCGGGCGUGCCGGUUCGACCCCGGCUCGAGGCACCA
rnacentral:tRNA from 1 species